AUACUUACCUGGCAGGGGAGAUACCAUGAUCACGAAGGUGGUUUUCCCAGGGCGAGGCUUAUCCAUUGCACUCCGGAUGUGCUGACCCCUGCGAUUUCCCCAAAUGUGGGAAACUCGGCUGCAUAAUUUGUGGUAGUCUCCCCUCAGA
rnacentral:snRNA from 1 species